CCCCCUGUAAUUUAAUAAAAAUAGUGAAUUGCAAAUUUAGGAAUUGGGGAUGGACCCUCAGGGGAU
rnacentral:tRNA from 1 species